UCGAGGGAUGCCUAAUACCUUCCCCUCGGUCAACGGAAUUCCUUACCUGAAUUUCUAGUUCGUAGAUCAAAACUAAAAGAGUCAUUUCCUAUUGAUUAGGGAUUCGAAAAGGUGACUUGGAACACCACAACACAAUUUCAAGUGGCGACUCUGAAAAAUUAAAACAAAUCAAUACCGUCACUUAAAUUGGAAAAAACUCUUCCGCCGCUGUGCACAAAAAGAGGUGUGACAAUGGGGUUCCCCCAGAGAACAGCAGAGGGUGUCAUUUCAAUUUGUUCAUGUCAUAAAGAGGCUAAAGUUGGUGGUGGAUACACUUGUCCGAGAUGCAAAGCACGCAUAUGUGAGCUGCCUACUGAGUGUUGCAUUUGCGGACUGACCCUUGUAUCUUCUCCACAUUUGGCAAGGUCAUAUCACCAUCUCUUCCCAAUAAGGCCAUUUGAUGACGUUUCACCCUCAACUCUGAAAGAUUUUCACAAGUUACCAAAGAAUUGCUUUGGUUGCCAACUGAGUUUUCUAAAUCCUGGUAAGAGCACUCUUCUUAUUUACAAAAUCAAAACUAUCUUGAGGUAAAAGAUUUAUGCCCAAAAACAAGGAAAUCUGUCUUAUUUUCUUACUCUUCAAGAUUACUCUGUAAAAUAACUACUGAAGUGAAUCUGCGAUCCAAUGAAGCACGUGGUCACACAAUAUAUUUGUAAAAACGACUUGCAUUUUAUGGUUCAGAAUUGAAACUUCCAGUGGUAAAAAAGAUUCAUGCCAAAAUGAGGAAAUAUGUCUUUUCUGUUUGCUCUCAAGAUUGCAUUGUAAGUAACCUUUAGAGUGAAUCUGGGACCCAAUGAAGCACCUGAGCUGGUCUUCUUUAUCAAAAUAAAUAAAUAAAAAUGGAACACCUGAGAUUUGCAUUUGUUUUGCAGAUAUUAUCAUUAUCCAUGUAUAUGCUAGGAUGUUCGAUAAUUUGAUAAUUUCAAGUAGAGUAGUUUAUCAGAUUAAUCCUGGGUACAUAACCCUGACCUGAAGCAUCUGCUGUUGCUAAGGAUGUCAAUGAAGUUCCUUUCUUUUUUUUUGAAAUUGGUAAAAGUUAUAUUCAUCAGCAUUCAGGGCUAUGCUGGCCACCUCCAAAAUUUACAAAAGAGUCAUGGAUAGUUACAAAGAACCUAUAAAAUCCACUAAUUGGAUUUCUUCUUCUAUAUUCUGUUCUUUACGCCAAAAGCCUAAAGUAGUAUGAAGUUCCUUUCUUUAAGUUCAUAGCUGCAGAGAAUUGUAGAAGGCAUUUACAUAAUUGUUUGUCAUCUGAGAUAUCUUGUAUCUGCAUUUGUCCGAUUUGUAAAGAACGAAAGAAAAAAAAAACACGCACUAAUCAUAACUGAGCUUUUGUUGAACUGAAGCAAAAGAAAUGUCUCUAGUGUUCUACAGAAGAAACAAGAUGUUUAGUUUCUAGAGCUUAAAUUUUUCACGUUCAAGAUAAUAAGUUCUUUUGUGUCACAAUUCUGUGCUUCUCGCUGAUUGUUUGUAAUUAUGUCCUUUGAGGACUGUUUUGAGGAAAAAUUUCAAAGCAAUGUUGAAAUUUGGUCUUUUAAGGAAGUAGCCUGUUAAACUAGUGUUUGUAUUCAGUCAGAUUGUUUUUUUUUUUUGCCAAAUUUCUUGUAACUUGUGAUGAAAUUAAGAAAUUAUUCUGUAAAAUGAGUUGUGCUUGGACCAAACAUUAAUUGGGAUCAUAAAACCUGGAAAGGAAGCAAUUUGUCUCUUCUUAAUGCAAGUCCUAAUUCAUAGACAACCCCUUAAAGUUCCCGCGACUUUUCAUUUAGACACCUUAAUUGAAACUGUUACGCAGCAAACACCUAGGGCGUGUUCGGUAUGAUGGAAAGUGUUUUCUAGGAAAAUAAGUGGAUUUCUUACUUUUUUUUAGAUGAAGUAAUUGAUUCAAUUCAUGUCAUCAAAAAGAUACGAAGUAGUUACAAAAGAGUGAGUGUGUUCGGUACGCAGGCAAAAUUUUUUAUCCUAAAAGCAUUUGUAUAUAAUUUGAACAAUACUAUGAGAGGUGAAGGUGAAGCGUAGGGUGUGUGGGGUGGUGGGGAUGGGGGCUACAUGGGUGAUGCUGAAGAUGAGGUGUGUUGGAAAGUCGGAAGGACACUAUCAAUGUGGAAUCCCACUUGUGUAACUUGUUUACAUUUUCCAAAAAAUGUGUUCGUCCAUACCGAACAAACCCCCUAAUGAGUAAUGUAUAUCUAAAAUGUGCCUAUUGAACACGUCAUGCUUAGCUAGUAAAAAAUAAAAUGUGUGAGUUUAAUGUGAGGAUGUGGCAAAUUAGCAAAUUGAACAAAACCACGUGACUUUUGAAUCCAACUAAUAAAAAAGGAAAAAGAAAACACUAGUUUUUGUAUUCAGCCUGAAUGUUUUUUUUUUCCGCCAAAUUUCUUUUGACUGUUUUUUGAUUCAGUCGAUAGUAUUCAUUGAAUUAGAGCAAAUUUCAAUAGUUCUGGAACAAGCUUCCACCACAUCCCAACUUACAAAAAAAGAACAGGUACUACUACUAUAGCAGAAAUAUAUACUCUACAGGAACCAUAGAAUAAUGAUGAUGGAGAUGUAUUGCGGCCUUCUCCUGUUCAUCAACUCAAACCUCAUACUAAUUACACCAUAAUUUAACCACCACACCAAGCAGAAUCCCAUGUCCUUUACCAACAUUAACAUAACUGCUCUUCUUUUCUUGACAGCAAGACUUUUGCAGACUCAUCAAAACUCAGAACCAAAUCUCCCCUCUACCCCCAAAACCACAAAAGUCCUGUCCUGUCUCUUGAGAGCAUCCCCACAACAUCCAUAGCAGUCACCCUCUUCCUACGAGCAUGCUCAGUAUAAGUAACAACAUCACAAAUCACAUUCUCCAAGAAGAUCUGAGCACCCCCCGAGUCUCCUCAUAGAUUAGCCCACUGAUACACUUCACUGCCCCUCUACAUGCCAAAUGCCUAAUGGCUGGCUUUGUGAUUCAAUGAAUGUUAUCACAGAGGACCUUACGGUGAAGCUUUGCUCCUCCCUUUCCCAAACCUUUUCCUCCCCUUCCACGACCCGACAUGUUCAGUCAACCUUUAGUUUCUCUGAAAUUGGAAGCUUCUGAAUUUCUAAGAGUGUUAGGGAGACAAUGAUGAAGACAAAUUUCUUGUAACUUGUGUGAUGAAUUAGGAAAUUAUUCUGUAAAAUGAGUUGUGCUUGGACAAAACAUGCUUGGGAUCAUAAAACCUGGAAAGGAAGUAAUUUAUCUCUUCUUAAUGCAAGUCCAAAUACAUAGGCAACCUCUUACAGUUGCCGCAGCCUUUUAUUUACACACCUUAAUUGAAGCUGUUACCCAUCAAACACCUAAUGUAUGUCUAAAAUGUGCCUAUUGAACACGUCAUGCCUAGUUAGUAAAAAUAAAAUGCAUGAGUUCACAUGCGAUGAUGUGGUAAAAUGGCAAAUCGAACAAAGCCAUGUAGAUUUUGAAUCCAACUAAUUGAAAAAGGAAAAAGAAAACACUAUCUUUAGAAAAAAAAAACCUCCCACCUUGUCAUCUUCCCCAACCUCAUCCUUCCUUCCCUUGUCUGGUUUCUCUCCGGUUCAUUCCUCCAUUUUCUUCCUUACCCCAUGAAAAUCUCUCCAUAAAUUUGCUCUCGAAAUACCUCAAAAAAUAAGAAAAAAUAGAAAUAUGUCACUCUAUUCUAAACAACACUAAUCAUGCCUAUAAAUACUCAAGUCAUCCCUACCUUACUCAGCUGCCCAACAGUACAACUAAACCUCAAUCCCAAGCAAGUUGGGGUCGGCUAUAGGAAUCCUCACUAACCAUAUUACUUCAGUUAAACCAUCUGAGGCCAACAUUAUAUAAAGUAAUAGUAAUAAAAUCAAGCAACAUAAAAAGUACUAGAAGUUCUUUAUAUUUUGCUACGAUAAACAACUCCGAUUAAAGUAUAGGACAUAAAGUAAAAGUGUUAGCAUGACUAAAACAUAUUCUUAAUUAAUAGGUAUCUCCUACAUAGAUCUUUUUCUUCCAUUGUGCCCUAUCUUUCACUAAGCCUUGCAUGAACCUCACUAGAUUGUAAAUCUUUCAAUACAACUUCCUUCCAAGUGAUUUAGGUACCUCUUCCCUUUUUAUUACUUUCUCUCACCACAUAUCUACAAACCGGUGGAUUUGAAGUUCGAUGCAAGACAUAAACAUGCCAUCUCAAGUGACCUCUUAUUUUUUCCUCGAUGUGUGCUACUUGAACCUUCUUGUGAAUGCGAUUGUUUCUAAUCUUGUCUAGUCUUGUGUGACUGCCCAUCCAUCUUAGCGCCUUCAUUUCCAUGCCACUCAUCUUGAUGUUUAACUUUAGAGACCCAACAAUAGAGUUAUCUUUUCUCAGGCAAAGUUAUAUAAACCACGUUUCAAGGCUACAAAAUCACCGACUGUCGAUGGAUGCUUUGUUAGACUGAACAAAUGAGGUUCAUCAUCUUCUUUUUCUUCUACUUGUUCAUGGGUUGCCAUCCCCUUAGUUUCGGUAAAUUUAGGUGUUGAUACAAUAGUGGGUGUCAGGGGUUUUGCUUGAAAUUGGAAGGCCGUCAAUCUGUGGGGUUGGAAUGGUGUAGUGAAUCACCAUUCACUAUACUGGGUAUGUUGUUGUUGAAUGGUGUAGUGAAUCACCAUUCACUACACGGGGUAUGUUGUUGUUGUUGAAUGGUGUAGUGAAUUUGCACUGGGUAUGUUUUUGUUGUUGUUGAAUGGUGUAGUGAAUGGAUGAUGUGCUGUAGUAGUAAAAGCUGGGCGUUCUAUUUAUUAAUGGUGUUGUAUCCAUUGAUGAGUCUUGGUUUCUAAUGGUAUUUCUCUUAUUGGAACUGAAGGAUGCUAGUUGGUAUUUUUCGCUGGUGGGAUUCUAUUUAGGAGGGAGAGAUGAAGGCUGCGGUGGUUUCUGGUGAUUGGUAGUAUGUCCAAACUGAUGUGGGGAGGUGGUGGCAGCAGCAGAGAGGAGCUGGAGGAGAAAGAAGAAAGAAAUAAAACAAAAAUAUUACAUUACAAUUCAUGAGCUCAAAACUGUGAAAGCCACUCAUUCUGCCACAUAACUGUGAGGUGUUCAAACUUCAAACGUCAUAUUUUGGAUAUACGUUAAGUUGUCUAAAAGAUAAUAACCUCAAUCGAGGUGUCUAAGUGAAAAGGCGUGGCAACAUUAAGAUUUAAGGGGGAUGUCCAUAUGUUUGGCCUAAUGCAAACUUAAUGUACAGGAGUCUCACUUUUUGCUUGUUCCACUUUUCUCUUUAUGCAUCAAGAUAUUCUCACUUUUUGCUUGUUCCCCUUUGCUCUUCAUUCAUCAGGAUAUUCUCACAUUUUGCUUGUUUCACUUUUUUCUUUAUUUGAUUUGAUGCAGGAAAUUUGCCAGGUCCGCAGGUUGCUUGUCCAAACUGCAAACAACACUUCUGCCUUGAUUGUGAUAUUUAUAUACAUGAGAGCUUGCACAAUUGUCCGGGUUGUGAGAGCUUAAGGAAUUCCAAGACCAUUAGUGAUAUGGAAGAAUGAUAAGGAUGUCUAUUUCUGAAGUGGUUUAUUCCUCAAACGGAACACGCUAAAUGGCAAAAUGUAAUGUUAUGUUGGAUGUCCUUUCCAAGUACCAGAAAUCUUGUUUCACAGCAUGUCGUGAGGAAAAGUCAAGCUGGCUGCUUUCAUAGGAUUUUUACAGUUGGAUCCAGCCAAUAUCUAUGGAACAGCUAUGGGAGACACCACUAACAAUCUCAAAGGUAAAACUUGUAUGGUCUAAUCCAACGUUUGGAGCAAUGCAGGAUCACGGCAUAAUGUAUAUCAUUCAUAUGN
rnacentral:lncRNA from 1 species